rnacentral:rRNA from 1 species
CCUUCGGGACAGAGGAGACAGGUGGUGCAUGGUUGUCGUCAGCUCGUGUCGUGAGAUGUUGGGUUAAGUCCCGCAACGAGCGCAACCCUUGAUCUUAGUUGCCAGCAUUUCGGAUGGGCACUCUAGGAUGACUGCCGGUGACAAACCGGAGGAAGGUGGGGAUGACGUCAAAUCAUCAUGCCCCUUAUGACCUGGGCUACACACGUACUACAAUGGCCGGUACAACGGGUCGCGAAGCCGCGAGGCGGAGCCAAUCCCAGCAAAGCCGGUCUCAGUUCGGAUUGCAGGCUGCAACUCGCCUGCAUGAAGUCGGAAUUGCUAGUAAUCGCGGAUCAGCAUGCCGCGGUGAAUACGUUCCCGGGUCUUGUACACACCGCCCGUCACACCACGAGAGUUUACAACACCCGAAGUCGGUGGGGUAACCCGCAAGGGAGCCAGCCGCCGAAGGUGGGGU